UUUACGUUUGUUUACGGUUGCGGUAGACGGUGACGACUGACGAGUCAGUGUCCCCAUAAAACUGGGAUGCUCUCGAAUAGGAAUAUUGUAGCACUUCACCAGUAUCUGAGGAGGAUGUUGUAUAUGUUUAUGAUAAUAUUGUCUUCAUUCUUCGUGAUUUUGCCAGAACAUAUGAAAGUGAUUAUAUUCCGUCUUUAAAAUACUGUAAUUGGUUCUACUUUGACGUAUUUGAUGAUGGUUUGGGACAGCCUGCGAAUUUCCUAAGCGUUUCAUUCAUAUUAUGUUUAUGGUAACAAACCAUACAUGUUAUUUUACAUGAGCUUCUAAGUUUUCGCAUUGCGACAUGGAGAUAAAUCUUGCGAACAGUGUUUUUGCGCACAUACUUACGUUUAUUGUACUUUAUUUAUGAAUGAUAUAAGGCUGGUGUGUACAGAGAAAGUGACAUAAUUUUUGCUCUGCCCGAUAAAAUCUCUCUAGUUUCUGUGACAUCGUAAAAGGAACGGCUUUUACUGUGAUUUGUGUGAUUUUUUUACAGCAGUGUCCGCAUGGUAGUUCUGUAGUGCUGGAAUGGGGUGAUGUUGCAUGUUAGUGUUUUAAGGAAUGGAAUACGACCAUAAAAUAAUUGUUUGAGAGUUCUUGGGGCUGUACAUCUGUGAACACCUCAUGGUCCAGAGAUCUCCAAGAAAUUACAAGUGAUUUGGCUCCAGUCACCACCCGGGUGUUCCCGUGGAACAGUGACAGUCUAUGGUUCAUUGUCUCUGCUGCUACGCAUCGUCUCGUGCACGUGAACCGUGUAAAGCCAUAAUUGAGAAAUCUAGCGCCGGAGCCAGCUGAUGAACCGGAAGCAGCUGAGACAUCCGCAGAGCACUCCCGAUGGUAACCAGCCGGUGUGCCAUCGACGCCGAGAUCCACAGUUCGAUGCUGAGGAGCCAGGCCACCGCCAAACGUACCACGGUGCGGCCCCAAGCUCCCCCUCGUCAAGGUAUCUGCUAUGGACGAGACAACGUUAAGUGUGUGCUAAGUGCGUAUACGUCGUUAACAGCAGUGUGCAGUGUCUAAUUGUGUAUGUGCAGAAGUGGAAGUGUGUUAUUCUGGUAACAACCAACUGAGUCAGUGUUAACAUUGUUCUUAUUGCAGAAGACUAACUUCUUGCCUUCAUUAUGUUAAAUUUAAGGAUAAUAAUUGUUUUUGCUUUGAUCAAUUGCUUUUAUUUUAGGUUUUGUCUGUCUUUUAGAAUCCUUCCGCUUCAAUCGGGUGUUCUUUUCGAACCACAAACUAGUAUGGUAGUAGCUAGUGGUAAUUUUAAUAUUAUUUUGAAGUAUAACCUAAGCUAGGUAGAAGAGCAGUUUCGGAACAUAAGUGAACGCAUUAAUUUUAUUGAGGCAAUUCCAUACGAUAUGGGAUCCAGCACUGUCAUGGUAUCAUAGUUGGGUUAUGGCUAAAAACCAAGUGAAGGUAGCCUUUACCAUGUAUAAAAGGGAAAUUGAUUGCUUUUUAAAUCUUUUACCCCACAAUAAUCUUGUUAGACGUAAGCGGGCUUGGUUUGAGUUUGUUGACAAUAUACUCAGAACUGUCUUCGGAACAUUAACUAACAGGGACUUGGUUGAUGUGAGUAAAAAGUUAGAGCAGGUAGGGGAAGUAGUACAUUCCAAUGCAACAUUUAGUGAUACUACGUGAUAUGCAGCAGACAGUUAGUAAUAAUACCGUGUUCUUUGGUAAGGUUGUUAAGUAGUUCAUAGCUCAUUUUAGGGAUCUGUACAAUGAGACAAGAGUCCAAAGGAAAUUAUGGAACAAAGUCAAUAUCUUGAAUGCCCAUGUAGAAUUAAGUACUUCGUUGUUUAGGAUUGCCGAUAGUUUGUCAAAUGCACGACUAGAUGCUUCUAAUCUGAGGCAGACCAUUGAAACUAGCUCAGCUAAUCAUUUGGGCAGUGUUUUGCUGCAUCCUAAAAAAAUUUUGGCAUUGCUAAUAGCUAUGGAAAGGAAACUAAUCCUGCGACUAUGAUCCUACCUGUCAAUAUGCAAAAUUUGUGUUUCUACUACCAAUUGAGUGAUGUAGAUGCAAUCAUGAUGGACAAUGAAUUGGAUCUGUCACCAUUCCCUUAGCAGACUCCGGACAUCACUUUGAAGUUUACCGCGUGUAUACCUAUCCAGUAUUUUGGGCGCCCCUCCAUACCUAUGUUCGGUACCAUCUGCAGGAGUGGUUUUUAAUUAGUCAGGACUGAAGAUAUUUCUUAGCUUUAUCUCAGAGCACUUUGCGCGAAUGUGAGCAAACAAAAAAACUUGUUUGUCCUCGAAUAUCAUAUUUUUCGACAGUCGUGUAUACAGCUGCGAGAGAGAUCUUUUCAUGAAUGUUCAACCCCAGAACUACUGUCCCAGGAACCUGAAAACACUCACUCAACCCUUCCUACAAUGGUUUGCGGAGGGUAUCAUCUACUCUUUCAACUCAAUUGACCUGACCUUCAUGUGUAACAAGUCUUUCUCUCCCUUUACCCAAAAGAUACAAGGUAGUGGUUUUGUGGUAGGCAUAGAAAACUGUGAGCUGAGCUGUCAAGUGACUUUUUCCAUGUACCCCAAAUGUCCCAAGGCACCUUGUAUAUAGGAGGCAAGUUAUCUGUAACUCCCAUUUCUACUGUAUUCCACAAUAAUACUUACUUAUUUGAGUCAAUGAAUUCAUUCAACUUUAAGUGGGACAGUCGAACUGUACAACCAAUUAGUUCAAUCCAUAAGUACUAAUGGCAACGAUUCGAAUUUGUUUCAUGCUUUCAACAGUAUUAACCAGUAUCAACAAGCUACUCGGAGUACCAUUACUUUAAAGCUUUCCAUUGGACUAACUGCAACUUUUGCGAUAAUUUUGUUAUGUUUGAUCACCUUUGGUUUUUAUGUAUUAAAGCGGUCAAGGCCCUCUGCACCUGCUGAGCUCAAACGCGUUACUGCCAGUGACAUUGUAGUUGACUUGGCACCUAUUAUGAAUGGAGCCUAAGGCUAUUAAAAGUUAUUUGGUAGAGGAUUGUUGAUGAGCCACCAGGUAGCUCAGUUUUAAUCGGGAGGGUGGUGUAAGGGAAUGGGUGAAGUAGGCAAGCGAUCGUUCACCCUCCAGCGCGGUACACAUAUUUCCGUCACCGCUGAUUCUGCAUUGCCGGGUCGCUGCACGCGCGUGUCAGCUAGCAACGCAGAAUGAAAGUGGGUCUUUCUGUCGGCCGGGUGGCUGUUGUCAUCAGACACCCUGCUGUGUCAUCAGACACCGGGCUUCCGCAUCACGUUUGGGUUGGUAGGCUGCGAGGACACUGACCGCUUCUGAGUAUGUA